AGCAGCCGCGGUAAUUCCAGCUCCAAUAGCGUAUAUUAAAGUUGUUGCAGUUAAAAAGCUCGUAGUUGAAUUUCGGGGUUAGUAGGUUGGUCAUGCCUCUGGUAUGUACUGGUCUCACUGAUUCCUCCUUCCUGAUGAACUGUAAUGCCAUUAAUUUGGUGUUGCAGGGAAACUGGACUGUUACUUUGAAAAAAUUAGAGUGUUUAAAGCAAGCUAACGCUUGAAUACAUUAGCAUGGAAUAAUGAAAUAGGACGUUCGAUCCUAUUUUGUUGGUUUCUAGGAUUGACGUAAUGAUUAAUAGGGAUAGUUGGGGGCAUUAGUAUUCAAUUGUCAGAGGUGAAAUUCUUGGAUUUAUUGAAGACUAACUACUGCGAAAGCAUUUGCCAAGGAUGUUUUCAUUAAUCAAGAACGAAAGUUAGGGGAUCGAAGACGAUCAGAUACCGUCGUAGUCUUAACCAUAAACUAUGCCGACUAGGGAUCGGAUGAUGUUAAUUUUUUAAUGACUCAUUCGGCGCCUUA
rnacentral:rRNA from 1 species